UUUGCUGUUUCGAAAUUUAAAGAAGUUUAAAGUUUGGUCGAACCUGAACACUGGCAGAAGAGCUGGAAAUGAAAAUGAGUUUGCUUUGGGUAAUUUCUGUGCAACAGCUUGAUUCCUUUUUGAACAAUUGUAAGACGGGGCAACGAAAUCCAAGUAACAAAAGUACACAAUUUUUUUUGUAAUAUACCUCCAAGGUUGAAUUUAAUAAAAUGAAAUUACUUUUAAAAAA